CCUUCUCAAUGCACUCUCGCUUGUGUCAAUUCCGGCUGGAGUGUUGACUGCGGCAGGGCGACUGUUUUACCUGGCGCAUACAUGUCUCAUUUCGGUGUACUGUGGUGAGAUGCCGGUAGCUGCCUGGGUCUCUCUCUCUCUCCCUCCUCUCGUGUGUGUGUUUGUCUGCUGCUACAGAAAGGUAAAAACCAACCGAGUGACUGUUCAAUAGCGCUGAUGCGUGACGUCACCAUCAGCUGAUUGACUGCUGCUUUGUCCCGAGGCUACUUCUGGAAUUUGUGUCAUUGUCAGUCUCCUGCGCUGUUUGCUGCUUACUCGGCUACCUGCUCUGCUUGCUUCUUCCCUGGCUACCUGCUCUGCUUGCUGCUGGUCUGACUGCCGGCCAGUGCUCGCUGCUUCGCCUAGCUGCCUGCGGUACUGGGUGUUUGGGGCCUCCUCAAUCGGUCACGUAUACCUGGGUGAUGUUUUUGGUUUGUUUGGUAGAUCCCUCCCCCCUUCACUAGCCCCCUGUCCAUCUGGUAAGCCUCAGCAUCUGAUUAGGUUUUCCCCUUUUCCCCCCCUGUGUGAAUGGUGUUUUAAAAUAACUUUUAAAACUGACUUGAAAAUAAAAUAUAUAUUGUUACAUUUGGAA